GAUGGAAGAGGAUUUGACUUAGCGGCGGACGGGUGAGUAACGCGUGGGUAACCUGCCUUACACUGGGGGAUAACAGUUAGAAAUGACUGCUAAUACCGCAUAAGCGCACAGGGCCGCAUGGUCUGGUGUGAAAAACUCCGGUGGUGUAAGAUGGACCCGCGUCUGAUUAGGUAGUUGGUGGGGUAACGGCCCACCAAGCCGACGAUCAGUAGCCGACCUGAGAGGGUGACCGGCCACAUUGGGACUGAGACACGGCCCAAACUCCUACGGGAGGCAGCAGUGGGGAAUAUUGGACAAUGGGCGAAAGCCUGAUCCAGCGACGCCGCGUGAGUGAAGAAGUAUUUCGGUAUGUAAAGCUCUAUCAGCAGGGAAGAAAAUGACGGUACCUGACUAAGAAGCCCCGGCUAACUACGUGCCAGCAGCCGCGGUAAUACGUAGGGGGCAAGCGUUAUCCGGAUUUACUGGGUGUAAAGGGAGCGUAGACGGUUUAGCAAGUCUGAAGUGAAAGCCCAGGGCUCAACCCCGGUACUGCUUUGGAAACUGUUAGACUUGAGUGCAGGAGAGGUAAGUGGAAUUCCUAGUGUAGCGGUGAAAUGCGUAGAUAUUAGGAGGAACACCAGUGGCGAAGGCGGCUUACUGGACUGUAACUGACGUUGAGGCUCGAAAGCGUGGGGAGCAAACAGG
rnacentral:rRNA from 1 species